AGAGAAGGCUUCAGAGGUGAAUCAGUGAGGAGAGGUUCCUGAGAGACGAACGGGCGUCGGAGGAGUUAUGUGCAGCACAACUGGGACGCGCUGGAGCACGUGACACAAGGCACUGUGUCACAGAAUCCCCAGACAUACAGCCUGUUGCAAGGGUGCAGAGGACUCAUGCUCCGGCUAGUCCCCACGCAGGCCUUUUGAGAAGGUGAAUCAGCGUGUGUUAGCUCAGGGCAGAGGGCCUGGCGGUGAGACGUGAGAACAGCCAAUGUCAUGGCGGUGGGGGAGUGGACGUGAGCCAUCUGGGGCCCAGCAAACAGCAUGUUGAAAAAAACGAGGAACUCAAAGGCAGAUGAGCCUACCACGCUGGGAACAGUUGGGAGUACAUUGCUCAAGCCCCGGCCAGUUUUAUGUCACUGCUGGUGUGAAGCAGUGAACAGUGACCCAGCAUGCAUCCAGGUGGCGGGACAGAGUCAGACUCUCCAGGGCAGAGAGACUCUAAAACUGACGGCCAGGUCUUGCUCAGACUACGGGCCUGAGGGAAGAUCCAAGACUGAAACAGGGCUUGGAAUGGAGGGGGUGGAGUUGAGGAGAUCACAGAGGACCUAGGAGUGUGUGUAUCGGAGAGAGAUAGGAAACCACUGACCGUUCAGCACACAUUCAGAAUUACUGCCUGUCCCAGGGAGGGACCCACAGCUCCGGCGCUCCGUUCAGCAUCUGGAAGAGCAUAGCUCGCUGUGAGCGGCCGCCCCAGAAGACUGUAUCCCACCCAGCCAGCUCUCCUGCCUGCUUGCCUCUGCCCCACACCAGGACACUUCAUACUGUCAGAACCACUGGGUGUGUGAGCUUGUGAGAGGGUGUGUGGGCACACAUGUCCCUGUGUGGGGUGUGGAGGUCAGAGGGCAACUUGGAGGAAUUGGUUCUCUCCUUCCACCACUGGGGCCCAGGAAUCAAGCCGAGGUUCCCAGACGUGGUAGCAGCCUCCCUUACCUGUUAAACCAGUGCUUCCCAGACUUCCUAAUGCUGUGACCUCAUGCUGUGCUGACCCCCGCCCAUGACAUUAUCUCUGUUGGUAUUUUAUAACUGUAAUUUUGCUACUAUUAUGAAUCACAAUGUAAAUGUCUGUUUUC